GAUGAACGCUGGCGGCGUGCCUAAUACAUGCAAGUCGAGCGAACGGACGAGAAGCUUGCUUUUCUGAUGUUAGCGGCGGACGGGUGAGUAACACGUGGAUAACCUACCUAUAAGACUGGGAUAACUUCGGGAAACCGGAGCUAAUACCGGAUAAUAUUUUGAACCGCAUGGUUCAAAAGUGAAAGACGGUCUUUCUGUCACUUAUAGAUGGAUCCGCGCUGCAUUAGCUAGUUGGUAAGGUAACGGCUUACCAAGGCAACGAUGCAUAGCCGACCUGAGAGGGUGAGCGGACACACUGGAACUGAGACACGGUCCAGACGCCUACGGGAGGCAGCAGUAGGGAAUCUUCCGCAAUGGGCGAAAGCCUGACGGAGCAACGCCGCGUGAGUGAUGAAGGUCUUCGGAUCGUAAAACUCUGUUAUUAGGGAAGAACAUAUGUGUAAGUAAAUGUGCACAUCUUGACGGUACCUAAUCAGAAAGCCACGGCUAACUACGUG
rnacentral:rRNA from 1 species